UUAUGUGUAUCAUUUCAUCAUCAAUAAGACUCGAUCACAUUCAUUUUAAAACAUUGGUAUAAUUAUUCUAAACAAACAAGACCAUCGCCUCAACACUGCAUACAUGUGUACAUGUCAUGUGACCUGGGCUGGUUUAAAGGGGAAUCUACUGAGUUGAUUUAAGGCACAAAGGCUGGUAGCUUUACAACACAAACCAUGUGGACAGCGCCGUGCCCACACCCUCUUCACGAUAGGAAGGAGCGCAAUGUAUGGCAAACGUCCCCAGUUUGACAUUUACCAAUGUAGAAAAAUAAUGAGCUAAUUCAUAGUUAAAAUAGAUUAUGAAUACCAAUUCAUCUGCGACCAUUUGUGCUGAAAUUGGUUUUUAAGACUUGCUUGAAAUGAGGCCAUUUACAUACAUGUAUGCAUGCCUGGUGUGCAACCUCAGCGCUCACUCUCCUUCGCUCAGAGACGGGCCGCCUCCUCUCUUUCUCCCCUAGCAACGAACAUUCAAAAGAGAACAUUUUCCUAUCAAAUCUGGGCGUCAUGCUAUUUCAGGUCUGGGUCAUGAAUAAGUUAGUCCAAACUCUGCAUGUGAGUGAGCUAAUGCAAAAAAGAGGACAGACUGGUGGUGGGGGGGCUGUUGUCAGGGUCUAGGAGGAGAGGAGCAACAUCAGUAGUUGUCCGUGCACAUUGAGAUGAGGUGCUGGAGGAGAGGGGAUUCCUUUAAGCAGAGGGAUGUGAGCACGCUGCCCGAGGCUUUGCUGCAGCCUUGUGUUGCCUCUGCAUAGUUAAACUGGUGGAAGAGAUGACCAGCAGCCAAGCCAGAGAAGUCUUCUGUACAGCACUCAGACACUCUGUAAACCCCACACGUACCUUCCGCCUGCUAAUGGAAGGGAAGAAAAGUGGAGAAAUGUUGCUAACAGUCAGGGAAAGCUUUCUGAUGUAAUACUUGGAAUGGAAAUGGAAAUACGUCUACAGAAAUCAAGCCAGCAGCUAAAGCAAAAAGACAAAGAUGAAGAAAAUGAGAAAGGAAGGAACUGACCAGUCUGGUGACGAGGGGAAACCCGAUGUGCCAGAAGUGCUCGUUGAGCAGCCCGUUGGACACCACGUUACCAAACAGAGCGAUGGUUCCUGGCUUGCACAGACCACUUCCUGGCUUGGUUUCUGCAAGAUAACACAAGUCCUUUUUCACCACUGUAUACAGUCAAUGAAAAUGAUAAAACGUUAUACAUAUAGUAUUUACAUUUCAAACAGUGAGAGUCUGUUAAUAAAACACGUGUCUACAACAGUGUGCAAACACAA